rnacentral:rRNA from 1 species
GCUAAGGUAGCAUAAUCAUUUGUUAUUUAAUUGGUAACUGGAAUGAAAGGUUAAACUAGCUUAUUAAGUUUGUGUAACUAAAUAGAAAUUUAAAGUUAAGGUAAGAAUUCUUUAAUUUUCUAGGGGACGAUAAGACCCUAGAAGCUUAACGAGCAGUGUUUUGGUUGUACAAGCUAGUUUGUUUUACUGGGGCGGUAAAAAUAAGUAAGCUAUUUAUUGUUUAAAGGAUCCUAAAUAUAAAGAAAAAAUGGAGUAGUUACUCUAGGGAUAA